ACAUUUUUCCUUGGUUCUCAUGCAUCGGGAGAACUUUGACUCUCAGAGUGAUGCUAUAGGUAUCAAAACUUGAGAAACGUUAGAAUUAUAUUCCUCAGUUCCUCAGUGAAGUAUGAUUUACUUCGCUGAGAUCACGGAAUUCAUAGUGGUAAUACUUGUUUUGUUCCACCAUUCCUAAAAGCUUACCUGUAGGUCUUUAGGUAGGAAAGAGCAGAACAUCCUUUACUUUGCCGUGCUAGUGUUUACCACAUCUUCUGUCUAAAUGUUGGAGUUCAACAUGCAAACUGCUAAUAUACUCUAACAGCAUUUUGCAGAUUAUAAGAUUAUUUUUGUAACCCUUGUUUGCAUGUGAGUUUAAUACUAGUAUCUCUGGUAGUUUCUUCAUGUUGCACUUAUUAGACACAAAUCAUCAUCAAAGAGUGUGUUGUGUGGGCAGGAGACCUGGCUCUUGACUGAUAAGCUGCAAUUGGAAUUCUCUUCCCAGAGCCAACAGAGAUGAUUAUUAAUUGUAAUUAUUUGAAUAUUUUUUCCAUGUCACUGGAAUAAUAAAGUUAAAGUUUAAGGAAACAGAUUCUGAUCUGGUAGGAGUCAGUAGCAGCUUUCAGCUGGGUAGUCAGUAUACUGUGACAAAUUCUAUCGUUGCAGCAACAUUGAGCUCUCUAUGCAGCUCUCUCUUCUUUUGUGGUGGGUUUUUAAGCUAUGGACUAAUUUAGACCAUUGGUACCCAAGCAUCUCAGCUGGCCAAUGUGCUCCCAUCUUUUUCUUCGGUUAUAUUUCCUCCAGACUGCUCCUGGACAUCAACUCUAGACAGUUUCUUGGAUAACAGGUAUUCCUAUACUGAGUAGAACUGUGAUUCUUCUGUGGAUGUUCUAUUCUAUACAUAUACCUAUGUCCAACUUUGUAUUUCCAGCUGUCUCUAACUAGCUUACCAUUGCUGACAGAUGGUUUUUUUUUUUUUUCCUUAUUACCUCUCCCCUAUUUCCUCCUUUAUUUGGGGGAUAUAUACUUUAUUUUUCACCAUGUCUUUCAGUUAUGUCCAAAUAAAGUAAUUUCUCUGCUUUGCUUUUUCCCUUCCCUUCCCCUUUUUCUUUUCCUUGUUUUUUCCUCUUCACUUUGCUUCAGUUCAGUUGGAAACAUUUGUCAUCUUUCUUAAUAUGUUAUUUCUCAUUCUUCCAGCUCAUUUAGGGAAUUAUUAAAGAAUAGAAAUGAUCAACAUGAUCCCCUUGUUAUUGCAAAAGAUGUCAGCUUGGCAUACUGCUAGUCCUCAUUGUCUUUGGUUUACAUUCAAUUAGCCAGUCUUUGGAUCUGUCCAAUCCAAUUUAAAUUAACAUUUCAAUUACUCUUUCAUGAAAGAGAGUAAAUGCUUCAUUAAAUUACACGCCUUAUUAAAAUAGCCAUCAACAUCUGUAAAUAAGCUUUCUGACAUGAUAUUAUACAACAUAAAUGAUUUUUCACUAUCACAAAAAUACCUAAAGUACCUACCAUUUUAAGUAGGCUAGAAUUUAAAAUGUUAGGUUCUUAAUACUGUCUGUAUGAGGAGAUAAAAUGCUGUCUGUAUGAGGAGAUAAUAAACUGAUUCAAGAGCUGCAUAGUCUCAGAUUUCCUGAAAACAUUUCUGUGUGUUUUAGAGAAAUGGAGCACUUGAGUUUCUCUCAAAUCACAAAUGAUAGAGCACUGUGCUUGUUGCUGAAGAAGGACAGAACAAAAAGAUAUCUCUGUGCCCCUAGAUAUUAAAAUGAAAACAUACCACUAAUGGAGGGUGGAUCAGGGUUCACGGCAGCCUGAAAUUUUUUGCCACUUCCCACAAGGCAACUUCUGCUGUCACGUGCAAUGAUACAGUGCCCUUGUGAUGUUGAUGAGAUAGCAUGAGUGUUUCUGACAGCUAUGUACUGAACAGAAUGCGGGAAAUGAACCAUAAUUUAUAACUAGUCUUAUAUUCAAGUUCCCAUAGCAUAUGAUGAAUGGAUUCACUGCAAUUUGGACUCUUUUACUAGAUGUUUGUAAUUUUUGGAGUUCUCUCUUCUUCAAGCCACAAUCUAGUCAUUCCCUUAUGCAUGUGUAUUACUUUUAAGGAUGAAUUUCUGUACAUCUGCAUUCAGAAAAGUACUUACAAUUUGUCCCUAACUCUAAGAUGAGUAAUAACUGUGGAAAGCCAGCAAUCAAAUAAUGUUUCAUCUUACAGCAACCAGGAAUGAGCUUAAACAUCAUGUAACGCUUGUCAGCCUUCUUGGCUCUCAGUAAAGAAAACCAAAUAUUUUCCUUUUUCUAUUCCCUCACCACAUAUUUUAACUUGAACAUGCCUUUCCUUCUGUCCUUUUUGCCCACAAGACAGAACCUGGUAAAACAACUGUCAGUAGCUCUGUUCAGGGCAGAGCAAUGUCUCUGCUUCAGUAACUGCAGUGCAGACUUCAAAUUAUGACACAAAAAUGUUUUAGAACCAUAAGAUGAAAAAUAUCUAUUUUUUAUUGGCUGUUUACAUGGUUGCUAUACUUAAUAUUACACUAUAAUGUUUGCUUUCAGCCACUGUUCAGCUGUAUACAUAUAUUUUGACCUUGAUGACAGAAAAAAUUCUCAAAAAGCCUAGUCAUAAAUUAAUAUUGAAAAGGUGUUGGUGACUUUUUCUUUUUUUUUUUUAUUUCAAACUCUACAGCCACCUAUGCUGUAAAUAUAUUUGUUGGACAACCAUUUCAGCAGUGCUGCAAUGUGCAAGUACUUGCAAAUUUGAGACAGAAGUAAGAUGACAAGAGCUGCCAUGGAGAUUGUAAAAUAUUUAUUAAUACAAUAAUAGUACUUUCUCUUGGAUCAUAUUUAUAAUUUAAAUUGUAUACCACAAAGGUACCUUCGUCCUUUAAAGAAGAUCAGAAAAUUUCAGUUUAGAUACAUGCUGUAUAUUCCUAAAUAGCUUAAUUUACUUCGUAUGUAGGCAACAUAAUUUGAUCUUUAAAUUUAAAAAGACAUUUCUUCUUAUAUUCCCGAAUAAUGCAUUUGGGUAUAUUCACUUUUGUUGGUAGAAUAGUGUUCACAGACAGCUGAACUUCAAGUUUUUUAUAAAACUGGCCUUAGUUAUAGAAUUUGAAAAGAAUGGAGAGAAUAUAUCUUUCCAUAUUUGAAUCUUCAGAGAGUUUGAUACAAUUUUCAAGUGCCAGUGAAAAAAAAAAAAAAAGCUCCUAAAUGAAAUGUAUGUUAGAGCCAUUUUGAAAGUCUGAAAUUUGUAGUUGCUGUUCUACAUCUACCACAGACUCACUAUGUAAUUUUGUGCAGGUGAUUUGGGGCUAGUUUCUUCCAUUCUUACCUGUGAAAUACCUUAAGGGGUGCUUAAUAUUUUUCAAUUUCUAUUCUUUACAAUUAGGUUUAUAAUUCUUAACAUUGGUCUGUACAUAGCAUUGAUGAUGAGAUUGGAGGAGACCAUGCAGCAACUGAACUCUCUCUGCUUUUGAUCUUUUAUUUGUCUUUCAAUACUGUACUGCUGAUGGGUAGAGGAGGUGAACAUAAUCUACUUUCAGACCUUCACAAAAUCUUCACUAUCCUACACUGUAAGCCUGUUCUGAAACUUUAUGUGUACAAAGACCUUGGAGAAAAAAAUAUCUGUAAAGGACUAGGCUUUCUUUGACUAAGCUAAAUUCUUAUUGCAGUGUGGACGUGCUAUGGCUCACUGUAGGCUCUUGUCAUUUGUCCAGGAUGUUAUGAUGUGGAAUACCAAUAGCAAAGUUACAAAACCAUGACAGCUCUCCACUGUAGCACAGCUCAGGCACAUUUAUAUGACAUAGAGAUGUGAAUUAUUGGCCUAUAGCAAGCCUGCAGAUAAAUGCAGAACCUCAGUUCCUUGUACCUGUGAUUUGAUCAAGUACUCAGUCUCUAUUAAGCAGCGGAAAUUGCUUUUAAGCUAUUUCUUGAAAUGGGGAAAUGAAAGAUGCUCAUAAACUGCUUCUAGGAAGAGCAGCACUAAGUUUGAGGUAGCAUGGAUGAGCCUACCAGACUGGUUUGAGUACAUCUGGAUUUGUUAUUUUUCGCGUUCUUUGUUAAUCAUGAUCUCGUUAUGAGUGACUUUGUCUUAAAUUUUAAUGCUCUAUCUGAACUGCAGAUGAGUUUCAGCUUGAAUGAGGAGGGGAUAGCAGCAGUAGAAUAAGCAUAGUUGUUUAUCUAUUUUUUUUUUUUGUCAAUUUCUCCUUCACUUUAAUGUUUUUCUUUUAAAAUGACCUGCUAGUUAGUAUGCAAGGACAUUUACUGUGUAUCAUGGCAUCAGCAAGACAGUUAUGAAAAACAGCUAGAUUAAAUUGUCAAUUUAGAGACCAGAUUGCAAUCAGAAUUUGAUUUUGUGUCACUUUUUUUUUUUUUUUUUUUUUUUUUUUUUUUUAAGAACAGACUGGUGGUAACCUUCAGGAGUUGUAACAGCAGCAUGUGCUUGGAUCAAAAAAGAGACUUGAGCUCUGUUCUUAAAUAACAGGCAAGUUCAGCUCUUGUUUACACGCAUGAGACUUUUACUGACAAUGAUGAGCUUAGAGCUGUAUAUACUACUCACGCAGAAUACAUAAUCAAGAGUGGAAACUAAUAAUUCUGAGACACCAGCUUUUAAAAAGACAGGAUUUAGAUGUGUUUGUGAUUACGGUGAUAUUUUAAACAAUUCUCAUAAUAAAGUGCUCUGCAUGUGUGAGUACUGCUUACUGACUGAAAGGUAGAUCACAAACGUGUAUGUGGGAUCUCACACCUGGCAGAAAACCAUUUUGUUGUCUCCUAUCUGCAGCCCUGUUUGGGCAUGCUUCAUUAGCUCCACCUGUGCAGGAGAAGUAGAGGAAAGAGUCCUGAGACAAAUCUGGAUCUUGGGGUAAAGUCUGUAUUGAUCUGUAGGUUGUAAAACUCUUUCUCCUGUAGUCUGUGAAAAUUCAGAACAGAAGCAACAAUCAAAGGAAGAAAAGCUUAUUUUUACAAAAUAGGAUUUUAAAAUCUUUCAUUGUAAUCCUAGACGGGCUUUGUUCUGACUGACUGCUAGGAUCAGAUUUACGCCAACUUUGGGGGAGUCCCAGUGGGGCAAAAUUGUUGCUUAACCUGGUAGAUAGCUUCCAGUAAUGGAUAGUUUAUAUAAAAUGGGAAUGUUUGGAUCAUUAAAUCUUAACUUGGAUUUUUUUUGCUAAGGAGCCACGUCCAGGCUCCAUUAACAUUUCAUCUUAUAAGCUUCUGUAAUUAGUUUCCUGUGAAAUUCUUACUUUGCCAUAGUCCUUUCUUUGUCCUUUCAAAACAAAAUUGUUAAAGAAUUUAAACAAUGGACUAUAGAUAAUUUGUUUGAAAUCAAGGAACAGCUUUACACCUUCAUGUCCAAGAGAGGCAAAAGACCUGAAAUACUGCAGGACAUAGAUGUGCCACCUGUUCCUCGGUGUCCUCUAUACUCAAGGAAUUGUGUACAAGAAUCUUGGUGUGACUGUCUAAAGGCAAAUAAACAAGAUUUAACAUGCAUUGUGACUUUAGAAAUUGGAAUAAUGAUAAAAACUUUCAGAAAACUAACAUGAACUUUAUUUAGUAGUAAUGUUAUUUUUUAGCUUCUGGGAACAGCGUUUCUUUUUGUCAUGUAAUCUGGAAUAUUUCAACCAUGUAAUCCUAUGUGGCAGAUAAAUACAUUUCAUAUAUAUAUAUAUUUUCACCUUAAAAAUAUUUAAUAAAACAUUCUUUUAUUUGCUGACUGAUCCGAUUUGUUCCUCAUCUGCUCUUUAUGUUCAUAGUUUAGACUUCAGCAGUUUUUUUAUCUAGAAAGGAUAUUUGAACUAUACU
rnacentral:lncRNA from 1 species